GCCAGUGUGCCACAGUGGUUUGAGUGUUGAACUAUGAUUCUGGAAACCAGGGUUCAAUUCCCAGCUUGGCCA